GGUAAAUUCACACCAGGAGUCUAGUGAAGAAACAGUAUGUUACAACAAGGAUACAGAGGUAGCAUGUUGAGCUCCAGGGUUCCCAUGGUGUUUGAAAUGAUGUCAGUCCUCUUUCUACUUGUAGUUUGUAUGAUAGCAGGUGUUUAUAGUGUGGACCUCACUCCUGUCAACAGUUUAGACGGUACAACUGUUACUCUGUCCCACAGGCUCUAUACAAAAAUUGCAGGGGGCGAUGAUUUCUUCUGGUACCGUCAGUAUCCUGGAGAACCUCCACAGUUCCUGCUGUCCAUCUCAGGACUUGGUAUCAACAGGACAGCUGAGUCUCUUGGUUCAGACAAAAGGUUUUCCACUGAACUGACUGAAGAGAAGACUGGAGUGGAUCUGAAGAUCUCCGCUGCUGCAGUGACAGACUCUGCUCUGUACUACUGUGCUCUGAGGCCCACAGUGACAGGAAACACAAACUCCCUGUACAAAAACCUCACAGCUAUUCAAUCACAAGAUUAAAGAGUGGUGCCGUGGAAUCUCCCCAUCGUAUUUGAAACAGAAAGGUUAGUCAUGUAUUUCAUGAUAAAGAAAACUGUUGAUUUCUCAUAUUGAUUCAAUUUUGGGUACAGAAGAAGGAAGUCGUGGUCUUCUGUCAUUUUGUGAUAAACAUUAAGGUGGAGAUGCUCUAACAUAAAAUAUGAAGAGGAGGAUCACUUUCCUACUGCAUCAGAGAUGAUCUUCCACUCUCUCUUCCCCUCCCACUGUAAACAUGGAGCACUGGCUGAGUAAUAUCCUGUUUUUCACUCUCUGGAUGGGUAACUCUUUUAAGACUUCUGUUGACCCCUUCUCUCAUCAUUGAUCUAAAUUAAUUUAUGAAUUAAUCUACAU